rnacentral:rRNA from 1 species
CACGGGGGGAGCAAGCGUUGUUCGGAAUCACUGGGCGGAAAGGGCGUGUAGGCGGUUCGGGAAGUGGAAUGUGAAAUCCCUCGGCUCACCCGAGGACCUGCAUCCCAAACUGCCGAGCUUGAGUAUGGGAGAGGAUGAGGGAAUUCCUGGUGUAGCGGUGAAAUGCGUAGAUAUCAGGAGGAACACCGGUGGCGAAGGCGCUCAUCUGGCCCAAUACUGACGCUGAGGCGCGAAAGCUAGGGGAGCAAACGGG